rnacentral:rRNA from 1 species
CAGCAGCCGCGGGAAUACGAAGGGGGCUAGCGUUGUUCGGAUUUACUGGGCGUAAAGGGCGCGUAGGCGGACUGAUAAGUCAGGGGUGAAAUCCCAAGGCUCAACCUUGGAACUGCCUUUGAUACUGUUUGUCUUGAGUUCGAGAGAGGUAAGUGGAACUGCGAGUGUAGAGGUGAAAUUCGUAGAUAUUCGCAAGAACACCAGUGGCGAAGGCGGCUUACUGGCUCGAAACUGACGCUGAGGCGCGAAAGCGUGGGGAGCAAACAGGAUUAGAUACCCCUGUAGUCCCUGUCUCUUAUAU